GUCUACGGCCAUACCACCCUGAACGCGCCGAAUCUCGUCUGUUCUGGGAAGCUAAGCAGAGUCGGGCCUUUUUAGUACUUGGAUGGGAGACUGCCUGGGAAUACAGGGUGCAGUAGGUU
ensembl:rRNA 5S_rRNA 5S ribosomal RNA